CUCAUAUAUGACCUCAAGAGAACACCAAAUAAGCAUAUUUCCAGCAGGAAAUGACCAGUGCUUUGGUUAAGAAUGCACAUUAUACUGCAGUUCUUUGGGGAAUGAAGCCACCCUUGACUGAGACACGGCACAGAAGACAGAGGCAGAAGCAGCUUUAUUGAAAAACAGAGCAUGAGUAGAACGACUUCAAAUCCCAUAUGGCACCACAGUGAGAAGUAACUUCCUCUGAGCUUCUUAGAGAAUCCAACAAUGUCCUGCUUCCUUGGGGAGCUGCAGCCAUGGGCACAUGGGAAUAGGGCUUCCACCAAGAGUCCCGUCAGUCACAGCAACAGGAGGUCUUCCUCAGACAACUUUGAUGAUAGUGGUUGUUAGCCAGAGCAAGCUAGAACCAGAAAGAAAAACUAUGAAGAUGCCACAGUGGGAGUCUGAGCACCUUGAGGCCUCCUGUUGGAAACUGGCAAACCUAACUGUGGGACACUUGGAUGCUGAGUUCUGGUAAACAUGCUGUCGGAGGCACGCCUCUAGGAUGGACCCCCAUGAUCCCCACCUCCUGGUAUCCGCGCCAUGAUGCAAUCUGCUUACAGCCUAAAUCAGGAUGAACCAUAUGACUCAUAGAACACUGCAGAAGGCAUGAUGUGUGACUUCAGAUGUGAAGUCAUAGAGGACAAGGACACAGCCACCUUCUUGGAUUUCUCACUCUGUGGAAGGGCAGUGACAUUCCAUGAGACAAGCAGUCCUGUGGUGAGGCCCAUGUCAAGAAGGCCUGAGAUCUCCCACCAUCAGCUACAGCCAAUUUGUCAGUCACGUGAGUAAACCACCUGGGACGUGAAUCCUCUCGACUUAACCACCUCUUCAGGUGGCCAGAGCCCUAGCCCAGGUCUGACUGCAACCUGAUGAGAAACCCUGAGUAGGAAGACCUGCUUGAGCUGCUCCCAAAUUAUUGAUCCACAGACACUAUGAGAGAUAAUACGUACUUAGUGUUCUUUUAACCCACUACAUUUUGGUUGGCUGUAUUUAUUACCCUGUAACAGAUGACUAAUACAUCUCCUGUGAUCAAAACACUUCAGAGGUUCCCCAUUUCUCUCAGAGAAAUAUCCAAAGUCCAUAAGGCCUGUGAGGCCCCUCACAUUCUUCCCACCCCCAUUACCUCUCUAACUCCAUUUUCUACCACUCUCCUUCUUUCCACCUCAACCACAGCUACAGUGACUUCUUUGCCCUUUCUCAAAUCUGCCUCAGGGCCUCUGUACUGGACACUCUCUCCCCACUCCCACUCCCUCCUCCAGGCCUUCACUGAAAUGUCUCCCUCUCAGUGAGGACUUCCUUUCCUAAACUGCAGUACCCCCAACCUACACACACACACACACACACACACACACACACACACAGAGUCUCUAGUCUUCCUAGCUCCUUAAUUUUUUUUUCCUUAGCACAUAUCACUAUUUCAUAUACCAUAUUUGUCAUCUAUUUUCUGGUUUCCCUUUCUCAGAUGUAAGCUAAGUUGGUGCAGGGGUUUUUGUCUGUUCCCAAUGUCUAGAAGAGUGUCUGAUUUACAGUAGACACUCCAUGAAAUUUGUCAAAUGAAU
rnacentral:lncRNA from 1 species